UUAAUUCUUUUACACGUGUAGACUAGAAAGAAUUUUAUAUCUUUACAUAUUUUUAGCAAUUAUUAACUUCUGUGUGCUCUGAUGACAUUUCAAUAGAUGUUACAACUUGCCUCUUCAAUAAUAAAAGCCGCAUAAACAUUUUAUGUUCCAUCCUCUAUCAAACAUGAAGCUAGCAUAUCUGCUGAUCUUGCUUUGUUUCUCUCGCUCCACGUGUUACGCGUCAAACGAGGACGAACGUAAG